GGAUGAAUUUGCAAAUUGCCCUUUCUAACUCUGUGAAGAAUUAAUUGAGUUGGAAUUCUGAUGGAAAUUGCAGUGAAUCUGUAGAUUGCUUUCGGCAAGAUAGCCAUCUUUACUAUAUUAAUCCUGCCAAUCCAUGAGCAUGGGAGAUCUUUCCAUCUUCUGAUAUCUUCUUUGAUUUCUUUCUUCAGAGACUUGAAGUUCUUAUCAUACAGAUCUUUCCUUAGUUAGAUUCACGCCAAGGUAUUUAAUAUUAUUUGUGACUAUUGUGGAGGGUGUUGUUUCCCUAAUUUCUUUCUCAGUCUGUUUAUCCUUUGUGUAGAGAAAGGCCACUGAUUUGUUUGAGUUAAUUUUAUAUCCAGCUAUUUAGCUGAAGAUGUUUAACAGAUUCCACUCUGGUGGAAUUUUUGGGGUCAUUUAUAUAUACUAUCAUAUCAUCUGCAAAUAGUGAUAUUUUUAUUUAUUCCUUUCCAAAUUGUAUACCUUUGAUCUCUUUUUGUUGUCUAAUUGCUCUGGCUAGGACUUCAAGUACUAUAUGCAAUAGGUAGGUGAGAGUACACAGCCUUUUCUAGUCCCAGAUUUUAGUGUGGUUGCUUCAAGUUUCUCUCUAUUAAUUUUUUUCUUUUUUCUUUUGUUUUUUCAAGACAGGGUUUCUCUGUAUUGCUCUGGCUGUCCUGGAACUCACUUUGUAGACCAGGCUGGCCUUGAACUCAGAAAUUCACCUGCCUCUGCCUCCCAAGUGCUGGGAUUAAAGGUGUGCACCACCACGCCCAGCUUUCUCCAUUAAUUUUGAUGUUGUCUACUGGUUUGCUGUAUAUUCCUUUUAUUUUGUUUAGGUAUGGGCCUUGAAUUCUUGAUCUUUUCAAGACUUUUAAAAUGAAGGGGUGUUGGAUUUUGUCAAAUGCUUUCUCAGCAUCUAAUGAGAUGAUCAUAUGUUUUUUUUUGUUGUUGUUGUUGUUGAGUUUGUUUAUAUAAUGGAUUAUGUUAAUGGAUUUCUGUAUGCUGAACCAUCCCUGGAUCCCUAAAAUGAAGCCUACUUGAUCAUGAUCGAUGAUCAUUAUGAUGUGUCCUUGGAUUUUGUUUGCGAGAAUUUUAUUGAGUACUUUUGCAUCAAUAUUCAUAAGGGAAAUUGAUCUGAAGUUCUCUUUUUUUGUUGGGACUUUGUGUUGUUGAGGUAUCAGAGUAAUUGUAGCUUCAUAGAAUGAAUUUGGUAGAGUUCUUUUGUUUCUAGUUUGUGGAAUAGUUUGAGGAGUAUUGAUAUUAGGUCUUUUUUGAAGGUCUGCUAGAACUCUGCAAUAAACCCAUAUGGUCCUGGGCUUUUUAUGAUUGGGUGACUAUUAAUGACUGUUUCUAUUUCUUUAGAGGAUAUUGCACUGUUUAAAUCAUUAAUCUGAUCCUGAUUUAACUUUGGUACCUGGUAUCUGUCUUCAAAAUUGUCCAUUUUAUCCCAGUUUUCCAGUUUUGUUGAGUAUAGUAUUUUGUGGUUGGAUCUGAUGAUUUUUAUGUUGUUAUGUCUCCCUUUUCAUUUUUGAUUUUGUUAAUUAGCAUACUGUCCCUGUGCCCUCUAGUUAGUCUGACCAAGCGUUUAUCUAUUUUGUUGAUUUUCUCAAAGAACCAGCUUCGGGAUUGGUUGAUUCUUUUUUUUUAAUUUGUUUUUUUAAUUAGGUAUUUUAUUCAUUUACUUAUCAAAUUCUAUCCCACAAAUCCCCCAGACUCCCCCCCAUUCCCCUAACCACCCACUCCCACUUCUUGGCCCUGGUGUUCCCCCAUACUGAGGCAUAUAAAGUUUGUAAGACCGAGGGGUCCCUCUUCCCAAUGAUGGCCAACUAGGCCAUCUUCUGCUACAUAUGCAACUAGAGACACGAGCUCCUGGGGUCCUGGUUACCUAUAGGGUUGCAGACCCCUUUAGCUUCUUGGGUACUUUCUUUAGCUCCUCCUUUGGGGGCCCUGUGUUCCAUCCAAUAACUGACUGUGAGCAUCCACAGGCCUUGGCAUAGCCUCACAAGAGACAGCUAUAUGAGGGUCCUUUCAGCAAAAUCUUGCUGGUGUAUGCAAUGGUAUCAGCGUUUGGAGGCUGAUUAUGGGAUAGAUCCUGAAUGGUUUUGUUCAAUUCCUUCUUCUGUUUGGUUGUGUUUUCCUGUAAUUCUUUAAGGGAUUUUUGUGUUUCCUUUUAUGGGCUUCUACCUGUUUACCUGUGUUCUUCUGUAACCCUUUAAGGGAUUCUUAUAUUUCCUCUUUAAGAGCUUCCACCUGUUUAACUGUGUUCUCCUGUAUUUCUUUAAGGGAGUUAUUCAUGUAAUUAAAAUCCUCUACCAGCAUCAUGAGAUAUGAUUUUAAAUCUGAAUUUGCUUUUCCGGUAUGUUAGCAUAUCCAGCACUUGCUGUGGUGAGAGUACUGAGUUCUGAUGAUGCCAAGUACUCUUGGUUUCUAUUGGUAAGAUUCUUAUGUUUGCCAUUGGCCAUCUAGUAAUCUCUUGUGUUAGAUGUUCUUGCUGUCUCUGGCUGGAGCUUGUUCCUCUUGUG
rnacentral:lncRNA from 1 species